rnacentral:lncRNA from 1 species
GAUUGCUAAUGAUUAUUAGUAUUAUUUUUUAAAACUGAAAAUUUAUUAAGAUGUGACAGUCCUCUUAGCCAUUCACUUAUUUUUCAUGGCCUCAUCAAUACAACCCCCUUGCCAAAGCAAGCUCCCUACACCAGGCUGCACAGGUAGGUCUUGAAUGACUCCAGUGAGGAGAACUCCAGAACCUCUCUAGGUAGCCUAUUCCAGCCCUCUGUCUUCCUUACUGUAAAGAAGUUCUUAUGCAUAUUUGUGCAGAACUUCCUAUGCUUCAGUUUGUGGCCAUUUCCCCUUGUCCUAUCGCCAUGCACCACUGAAAAGAGUCUGGCCUUAUCCCUUUGCCUCCCACACCUUAGAUAAUUAUAGACUUUAAUAAGACCCCUUCUUUUCUCAAGGCUAAACAGACCUGGGUAGCUCAGCCUUUCCUCACAAGAGAGGCGCUCCAGGCACUUUCAUCUUCAUGACCCUCCCCUGGACUCUUUCCAGGAUAUUGUCAAAGUAAGAAGAGGAUACUGCCUUCAGUAAUGAUGGAUACGUGGACAACUUGGUCAGAGUCUGCCCUGGCCCUGAUGGAGUGCCCUGGAGCUGUCCACAGGAAAGUGCUGGAAAAGGAAAAAACAGAUGGUCCAGGUACACAGUUAUUUUAGCCUAAAAUAUCAGAUAAUAAGCAGCCCACUUAAGGGUAUCGUUAAAGUAUAUCCGAUCCGGAAAUUGUGACACCAAGUAUGUAAAACAGUCUUCUACAUGUGAGGUUUCCCAUCUCAAAAGAAAACUGCUUUAGUAGAUGACAAACUCAAACAACAAAUAAUACUGUAUUGCACAUGCAUACAUACACAAGCACAAGCGCACUUACAUGCACGCAUACACACUCUCAAAACA